CGAGCGAACGGACGAGAAGCUUGCUUCUCUGAUGUUAGCGGCGGACGGGUGAGUAACACGUGGAUAACCUACCUAUAAGACUGGGAUAACUUCGGGAAACCGGAGCUAAUACCGGAUAAUAUUUUGAACCGCAUGGUUCAAAAGUGAAAGACGGUCUUGCUGUCACUUAUAGAUGGAUCCGCGCUGCAUUAGCUAGUUGGUAAGGUAACGGCUUACCAAGGCAACGAUGCAUAGCCGACCUGAGAGGGUGAUCGGCCACACUGGAACUGAGACACGGUCCAGACUCCUACGGGAGGCAGCAGUAGGGAAUCUUCCGCAAUGGGCGAAAGCCUGACGGAGCAACGCCGCGUGAGUGAUGAAGGUCUUCGGACCGUAAAACUCUGUUAUUAGGGAAGAGCAUAUGUGUAAGUAACUGUGCACAUCUUGACGGUACCUAAUCAGAAAGCCACGGCUAACUACGUGCCAGCAGCCGCGGUAAUACGUAGGUGGCAAGCGUUAUCCGGAAUUAUUGGGCGUAAAGCGCGCGUAGGCGGUUUUUUAAGUCUGAUGUGAAAGCCCACGGCUCAACCGUGGAGGGUCAUUGGAAACUGGAAAACUUGAGUGCAGAAGAGGAAAGUGGAAUUCCAUGUGUAGCGGUGAAAUGCGCAGAGAUAUGGAGGAACACCAGUGGCGAAGGCGACUUUCUGGUCUGUAACUGACGCUGAUGUGCGAAAGCGUGGGGA
rnacentral:rRNA from 1 species